ACGCACGGAGGACAUGGAGAUGCCGCCCAAGUUGAUCCAUCCGGUGGCCGCAGCCACCACAAGACGCUGCCCGCCGGCCGCCGGAUCCCCUUCCCCACCGCCGUCCUCCAACCCCACGUACGUACGUGAGCAACCAACCAUCUCCACUCCCUCACCUACAACGAAUCAAAUCAAAUCCAACCCAACCCACCAGACCGAAUCAAUCUUGCAGCCCAACAACGACCGUACAGUGGGAAACAAAUACUGUUCCUGCUCCGGUGUUUGUGCUGCUGCUGCUGUCCAUCCGACCUCCUGAUGGCCGCAGCGUACGUGAGGCCGAGAUGCACCUGUUUUAUUCGACUCGGACCGCGACCACCAUCAGAAAGAUCAGUAUGUUGUGUGCCUUAUAGCUGAAGAAUUGGCUGCAAAGUCACUAGAGAGACUCGGACAACACCUUAGACAAGAAAAAACUCCCAGUAAGGGAAUUACUUAAAAUCUCCUAGUGUACAUGUGAAGCGCAGGUUACUGUUCCGCUAUUUGUGGUGCUGCUGCUGUCCAUCGGAGCUCCUGGUGGCGCUUCCAGCCUCCGUGAGGAUGAGCUGCCCCUGUUUUCUUCGACUCAGACUGCGACCACCGUAGGAAGAUGAAUAUGGAGCAUGCCUUAUAGUUGAAUAAUUGGCUCCGCGUUCAGGAGAUCAAAUCGGACAGCGCCUGAGACAAGAACGACUCCUAGUAAGCAGGUUCAGGAGGACUUUCUCCUCUCAGAUGCUGGGGACAACAACGAGUACAACAUAUAGGCCUGUAGGGCAAGAACCCCAGCUACCUUAGUACGGUGGAAUAGACCAAAGCGGCAGCGAUGGCAAUGAUCCACAGCUCCAGUUUCAGGAGAGCGGCUUUGUCCACUUUGAUUACAUCGGAGACAAGAACAACUCCUAGUAAGGUUCAGAACAUACUGGGGUUGAAUAGCACCAAGCUGGGCGUACCAGGAGGCGGGAUUCUUGGGUGGACCAGGACUCCACUUGUGCUUUCAGACAUUCUUGCUGCCACUUGUCCUUACUAUUAGAGGGUGCCUUGGAGCUGCAAAGUAGGCCGGUUCGGGAUGACUUCCUUCAGUAGGACGCUUCUGGGGUCAAGAACGACUAGGUUCAGAUCAUACCGGGGUUGAAUAGCACUAAGCCGGGCGUACCAGGAGGCGGUGUUAGAGGGUGGACCAGGACUCCACUUGUGUUUUCAGGUCUCCGAUUUUGCUGCAUGCAUAGAUUUUCUUGCCGCCACUUAUCCUGAAUAUGGAUGGUGCCUUGGAGCUGGAAAAUGGGUGGCUGGGCUGCUGCUAUUGCUGCUUAGGCUCUCAUACGAUGGACUUAGACCGCUGAGCGCCGACACAUGGCGAAAGUUCAUAAUUGGGUGCAGUUGUGCUGGUAGGCCCCAAUGUUGGCGGCAGCAUUGAUGGCGCCGUGCAUAGGGCGCCUGGGUACAUGAUGGUGACUUCCUCCUCCACUAGGACGCAUGCUGCCGCCUGGGACAAGUACGAACACUAGGCUUAUACUUUCAAGCAUCCGCCAUGAAGCAGCAUUAGUUUUAGAGAUCCCUAGGGAGAACAGGGCAAGGAUCAACAGGCUCUAGCAGACCUUCGCUAGCACGGUGAAGAAGAAAAGACAUCCAUGCAGUUUUGUACCAGUAGAAGUUAAGUCCCAAGAUAAUUUACCCUCUCGAUAUCAAGAAGUAGGCUGAAAGGAGAGGACGUCAGAGCUGGGCGUAGGUAGCAAUUCCAUUGGUUCGAGGCUAGAGUUGGUUGAGGCCCACUUGGAGAAGCGGUGCGAGUCAGCCAUUGUGCUGGUCCUCAAAUACGAGAGCACUAACAAGGGCCCUUUCGAUGCCCACAUGGUGGUGGUGAAGCAGUUCACGUGGGAGGGAGUGUAGGGAACGAAGGAGUUCCUGGUGGAGGUGUAGAUGCAGACGGUGCUCACCCACCCAAACAUUGCCAGCCUGGUCGGGAUGAGAGGUUGCUGUGUCAGAGUACUUGCAGUUCCGCAUCCAGGAGAGACAUCUCUUUUGGUGAAGAAGAAAAGACCAAGUACUUCAUCCAUUCAGUUCUGUACCAGGAAGUUAAGUCCCAAGAUAAUUUACCCUCUCAACAUCAAGAAGUAGGCUGAAAGGAGAGGACGUCAGAGCUGGGCGAAGGCAGCAACACCAUUGGUUCGAGGCUGGAGUUGGUUGAGGCCCACUUGGAGAAGCGGUGCGAGUCAGCCAUCGUGCUGGUGCUCAAAUACGAGAGCACUAACAAGGGCGUUUUUGAUGCCCACAUGGUGGUGGUGAAGCAGUUCGCGUGGGAGGGAGUGUAGGGAAGGAAAGAGUUCCUGGUGGAGGUGUAGAUGCAGAUGGUGCUCACCCACCCAAACCUUGUCAGCCUGGUCGAGAUAAGAGGUUGCUGUGUGAGAGUACAUGCAGUUCCGCAUCCAGGAGAGACAUCUUUUUUGGUGAUACCGGACAAGGCGAGCUGCUUCAAGAAGUGGUAGUCGCUGGGACUUGGUACAUGGAGUGGCAACUACCGUGGUGCUUCCAAAGGCUAAGAAGUCCAACUACCGUCUCUGUUUUGGCUUCAUACCUGCCAAAUCGUGUCUGAAGCUGCAAAAAGGAAAAUUGUCUUUGUGCCUACCAGGACUGCGACGUGAAAAGCAUAGAGCGGUGAUAGGUGAAGAGAAAGCUAGCUUUGGCUGUUUGUAGCUCUGCGAUUGCAUUACUUUAUGAACUUAGCUAGCUGGUGUUGAUUGUAUCUUGUUGAAGAUUGUGGGCCUUCUAUACCUAGGGCCGAGUUGGGUUCGUCGAUGUUCUUGAUGUGCAUAUGCAAUCAUGGGCAGUGAGCCAAUGAGAUGUAUGUGCUGAUGCUUGUAUCGAUACAGUAUGUGUGGUCACAGUUUUAUCACCUCCCUAUGCAAUAUACUCGUUGGAGUUUGUCA